rnacentral:lncRNA from 1 species
CCGGAUUUUUCCUGGAUUUUGUUCCCAGAUUUUUCCCGGAUUUUUCCCAAAUUUCUCCUAGAUUUUGCUCCCAGAUUUUUCGUGGAUUUUUUCCUGGAUUUUGUUUCCGGAUAUUUCCCAGAUUUUUCGCUGAUUUUUUCUUGAUUUUUCUGGGAUUAUUCCCGGAUUUUUCCUGGGUUUUUCCCGGAUUUUGUUCCCGGAUAUUUCCCAGAUUUUUCACUGAUUUUUUCUUGAUUUUUCUGGGAUUAUUCCUGGAUUUUUCCUGGAUUUUGUUCCCUGAUUUUUCCUGGGUUUUUCCCGGAUUUUGUUCCCGGAUAUUUCCCAGAUUUUUCGCGGAUUUUUUUCUGGAUUUUUCCAGGAUUAUUCCUGGAUUUUGUUCCCAGAUAUUUCGUGGAUUUUUUCCUGGAUUUUGUUUCCGGAUAUUUCCCAGAUUUUUCGCGGAUUUUUUCUGGUUUUUUUCCAGGAUUAUUCCCGGAUUUUUCCUGGAUAUUUUUCCCAGAUUUUUCCCGGAUUUUUCCUGGAUUUUGUUCCCAGAUUUUUCCUGGAUUUUUCCAGGAUUUUCCAUGGAUUUUGUUCCCAGAUUUUUCCUAGAUUUUGUUCUCGGAUUUUUGCCAGAUCUUUCAUGGAUUUGGUUCCUAGAUAUUUCCUGGGGUUUUCACGGAUUUUUCACUGAUUUUUCCUGGAUUUUUGUUCCCGGAUAUUUCCCAGAUUUUUCGCGGACUUUUUCUGGAUUUUUUUCCAGGAUUAUUCCCGGAUUUUUCCUGGAUUUUGUUCCCAGGUUUUUCGUGGAUUCUUUCCUGGAUUUUGUUUCCGGAUAUUUCCCAGAUUUUUCGCGGAUUUUUUUCUGGAUUUUUCCAGGAUUAUUCCCAGAUUUUUCCUGGAUUUUUCCCAGGUUUUUCCUGGAUUUUUCCCAAAUUUCUCCUAGAUUUUUCUCCCAGAUUUUUCCUGGAUUUUUCCUGGAUUUUUUGUUCCCGGAUAUUUCCCAGAUUUUUCGUGGAUUUUUCCUGGAUUUUUAUUCCCGGAUAUUUCCCAGAUUUCUCACUGAUUUUUUCUUGAUUUUUCCAGGAUUAUUCCUGGAUUUUUCCUGGAUUUUGCCCCCAGAUUUUUCGUGGGUUUUUCCUGGAUUUUUGUUCCCGGAUAUUUCCCAGAUUUUUCACGGAUUUUUUCUGGAUUUUUUCCAGGAUUAUUCCUGGAUUUUGUUCCCAGAUAUUUCGUGGGUUUUUCCUGGAUUUUGUUCCUGGAUAUUUCCCAGAUUUUUCACUGAUUUUUUCUUGAUUUUUCUGGGAUUAUUCCCGGAUUUUUCCUGGAUUUUGUUCCCGGAUAUUUCCCAGAUUUUUCACUAAUUUUUUCUGGAUUUUUCCAGGAUUAUUCCCAGAUUUUUCCUGGAUAUUGUUCCCAGAUUUUUCCCGGAUUUUUCCAGGAUUAUUCCCGGAUUUUUCCUGGAUAUUUUCCCAGAUUUUUCCCAGAUUUUUCCCAAAUUUUCCCCGUGUUUUGUGCCCAGGUACUUCCAGAGCAUUUACGACACGGCCGAGAGCCUCGGGCUGCGCUAUCCCGA